UACGUAGGGCGCAAGCGUUGUCCGGAAUUAUUGGGCGUAAAGAGCUCGUAGGCGGCUUGUUGCGUCGGAUGUGAAAGCCCGGGGCUUAACCCCGGGUCUGCAUUCGAUACGGGCAGGCUAGAGUUCGGUAGGGGAGAUCGGAAUUCCUGGUGUAGCGGUGAAAUGCGCAGAUAUCUGGAGGAACACCGGUGGCGAAGGCGGCAUCCUGGACCGACACUGACGCUGGAGGCGACGAAAGGCUAGGGGAAGCAAAGCGGGU
rnacentral:rRNA from 1 species